CGCCCCCUCCCCUCCUUCCUGUCACCUGUGCAGCGAUUCUCAUCCCCGGAGCCUCGUCUCCAAAGUUAGGGGAGCCAGGUCCGCCAGAAAGGAAGAUUUGCCCCCUUCCGACGGGGUCACCGUUGGUGCUGGUGGUUGCUGUUAGUUCGAAGUCGUUGGGGGGGGGGUUUGUGGUGAAAUGCAGUCAAGUUGUUCAAGUGGGUUUGUAGUUGCUCUGUGUGUGUGUGUGCUUGCUCUUGGCUGGAGUAUCCUUGAAACAGCCAAAGGCUAAGAGUGGAAUAAAUGAUCCCUGAUUUAGAAAGAAAGAAAGAAAGAAAGAAAGAAAGAAAGAAAGAAAGAAAGAAAGAAAGAAAGAAAGAAAGAAAGAAAGACCCUUACCGGGGCGACAGAAGAGGAGCUGAGUUCCUUUUUUACUUUUAAGUUGCUAGGACCUAAACCUAACACACUGAAAAAGCAACUGUAAGUUUAGAAAAAAUAAGGGAGAUAAGGUUUUUCUUUGUUUGAAAAGGUUUCAAGAUGUUAGGUUUUAUUUUUUACUUAAAAUUUAUAUUCGUUGCUUCUCAUAGCAAGCUGAAACAGUUGUAUCUCAGAGAUUUAAAUUCUGAGUGUACAAACACAAGCCUGGCUUGUUUUUAUCUCUGUUAUGCCCAUUUUUGGAGGUUUUGGGGGAGCAUUCACUAAGUCCGGUAGGAAAGGUUGAAGGGAUUUCUAAAAAUGUUAACCUCUUCUCUUUUCUCCCCUCAUUAUCAUCAGCUUUAAAGAACUGUUUUGCCAAAAAGCCAGCCAACUUUAGAUAUGCUAGGAUGCUUCAUCAGUUUGUAAACUGUCUUUCCGGAGCCUUAUGGUCAGGCCCUGGUAGGUGUGGCCCGAAUUCCUCAUAUGCUGCAUCCUUCUGAGCUGAUUUGGCCAGCUUAGGCAUCUCCAUCUCGGGAAAGCUGGCCCUGCCUGCCAUCCUGUCUAGAAGCUUUCCCUGGUCCUCACGAUGUCCUGUCUAUGGUACUAUCUCAGGGCUUAACCUUCUGAUGACACGUGGUUUCUUCCACUAGACUGACCUUUACCCAGGGACAGGGAAGAAUAAAUCUGACCCUAGUGCCUAGCACAGUGCGCCUGUCAACAUUCACGUGCAUCCUUCCACUUCAGAUCUUUGCAAAGCCCUGUGAAAUGUUAAUGUUACAGAACACUGAUGUUCAGCACUAAGUUUGUGCCAAAGACCUGCUGAAUAUGAACUUUUUGACUUUCUGUCUGCUGCUUCUCAGCUUUCUCCUUCUUGCAAAUGCUUUACAUUGGAAGAAGUCCAUCUUUGCUGUCCUGGUCGAAACUAGACUUUGACACAUGUCACAGAAAUGUGUGGUGCUAGUCAUCAGAUAGUCUACUGAAUGAUACUCAACUUGAAUGCAUCUUAUUUGAAUUAAAAAAAGUUUCCUCAUGUAUGUAUGUUAUGCAUGCACAAGGGGACAGCACACAUGAAAAGGUUAGAGGACAACUUUGAAGAGUUGGUUUUCUCUUUCCAUCAUAUGGACUUGAAGAUCAAACUUAGAUCAUCAGACAAGGACCAUCAUCUGCUGUGACAUCUCACCAGUCCCUCGUUAAUAAAAUCUUAGUGCUGCUAAAACUGUGGGAGGGAAUCUGAAUUUUGUAAUUUCGGGGUUUUGUUUUUGUUUUUGUUUUUUGAGUGUAUUUUCACCUGGAAGCAUGAAUAAUGGUUUUCAAAAUAUGCUACUUGAAGAUAAGCUUGAAAGUCCUUCUUGAGCAAUACCCAAAUAAGUUAAGCAAGUUAUGUGAGAGCAAAAUUAUGACCCCAUAGUAGUUUUGUUACUGGAUUUAUUGGGGCCCUGGGUAAGCAAAUGACUAUUGAGCUAUAAUUUAUCUCCAGCCCUUUUGAAUUUCUUUUUUCCAUUUUGACAAGAUCUCUAGAAGUUGUCUGGGUUGGAUUUGGGAACGCUUCCCUGGCCUCCUUAGUAGCUGGAAUUAUAGGUCUGUGUCAUUAGUUCCAGUCAUCAGUGUUGUAUUGUUUGUUUUUGAGGCUCCUUACACUGAAGAGGUGCAGCAGUAAGGACAGUGUGUGGCUCUGUGCACCACCAGUUACAGCUGGUGUAAGGAUAGCUGUCAUGAACACCUCUGCAUGGGAGUGGGCUUUAUGCUUAUUUAAAACACAGGCAGCAGGGGCCUUUGGUUUGGUUUUUGAUGCUGGGGAAUUGUAUCUAGGGCCAGACACAGUUAUUGCAGAAGAGCUGCUAGUGUGUGUCUUGUGCCCUCAACAGUCUUUGCAAUGUCAGCUUCUGGAGAGCCUGAGGUAGGAGGGUCAUUGUAACCCAGGAGGGUAGGUCAGCCUGGGUCCAGUUAUGAAGACAAAAGCUAGAAACCCUAGUUACCACUCUUGAAUUCUGACAGAUAAAAGCAAGUUAUGCAAUCUGAAGAUUUUGUAAUUGAAAAGAAGGCCAUACAUCAAGAUAAGGAGUAGGCAGUUCAAGAAAAAUCUCAAGCAUGUACAAAAUGCUGGAGGCUUACCUCUUUGAAAACCAUUUUCUAAGGGGAGUUGGUAUUGCAGGAUGAGAGAGGUCAUCUCAAAAAUAAACAAAACCCAAAGCAGGUGGAUUGGAUGGCAUCUAAGGGCAUCAGUUGGCCUCUAGCAUACGCAAACACGUGCACACAUGCUUGCAUGUGAAUAUACAUACACACAGAUGGGAUGGCUUUUGUGUAUGUAGCAUGACCACAUGCCCAGAAUGGGGGUUGACAGCAGGAGGUGACAUCGAACUUACUAUGUACUCUUGGGUGCUACCAGGAUCUCAUGAGAAUGGGGGUAAAUUGUCUUCAAAUCAAACAAUGUAAAACUCCAAAUUGGGUCUGGUGUGAAGAUCUAAAACCUCUGCUAUUCAGCAGGCCAAUGCAGGAUGAUCAUGGGUCAGGUUAGCCCUGACAACCUAGUGGUCUGCCUCAAAGAGAAUACUAGGAAAAGUAUUAAGGAUGUUUAGCACAAAUAAUAAAAUCCAGAGACAAAUAUUGGGGUUCAAGCUGAAGAUCAGAAAAGCAAAGCAGCCAACCACUAGAGAGGUCUUAACCUCUACCAAGGCUCAGACCAAAA